UACGGGGGGGGCAAGUGUUCUUCGGAAUUACUGGGCGUAAAGGGCACGUAGGCGGUGAAUCGGGUUGAAAGUGAAAGUCGCCAAAAAGUGGCGGAAUGCUCUCGAAACCAAUUCACUUGAGUGAGACAGAGGAGAGUGGAAUUUCGUGUGUAGGGGUGAAAUCCGUAGAUCUACGAAGGAACGCCAAAAGCGAAGGCAGCUCUCUGGGUCCCUACCGACGCUGGGGUGCGAAAGCGUGGGGAGCAAACAGG
rnacentral:rRNA from 1 species